GCCAGCUUUGUGUUUGCUCAUGUGAUGAGACAUUUGUGUAUUUGUAUGGAAGAAAAAGUAGAAGUUUCUGAGGCAUUCGGAAAAAAAUUCCUCAUGGCCAGAGAGACUGACUGUCUAUUAGUAAGCUCUGAAGAACUAAAGAGACACGUGACAUGACAUCCCGUUGUUAGAUCUCAGCUAUCCCUGUCUCACUGUUCUAGUGCUCUCUCUCUCUCUACUCUCCCUUCCUCACUGGCCACUCACACCCACCCAAGCAAGGAAGAAUGGAGUACGAGAGGAUUCAUCAGAAAGCCCAGGUAUCCAUGCCAUGCCAAUGCAGUAGCUCGUUUGAUCUGAGCUACUUGCUGGCCGCUCAAUUUGCUUCGUAGUUCUUCAAGCUGGUGCUCUUUCUCCAACGAAGCUAAGGAUGAAGCUUCUGGGUGCCCACAAUCGAGUAAGGGUCAUCACCAACAACUCAUCGUCGCGCACAUCGCCUGCAAAAAACACUGAGACGUCACAAGCGCAGAACAGGCUCUUAGUCUGUGAUGUUCUUGAAGAAGUUUCAGACAACUCUGAUGGCUCCAAACGCCCUUCAGCAAUCAACAAAACUGAAGCUGUAGAAAAUGAUUCAGCAUUGGAUAGUAAUAAGGUCCAGAACACAUCCAAGAUUUCAGUUCCCCAACCAGCACCAGUCAACUCAAGCAUAAUAUAUCCAGUGAGAACUGUGGAAGAUGACGGUAAUGACUGUGAUAGUGGGCUUGACAAUGCUAGUACCAGUAGCUUUGAGUUCCAUGGAGGUGAGAGGACGGCGACGCAGAAUCCAGCGGCGGGAUAUUUCUCUAGACAGACUUCCUCCAAGUGGAAUGAUGCAGAGAAAUGGAUUGUGAACCGGCAGAAUGUUAAUCAGAACAUCUCCAAGGGCACAGCACAAAACCAGACUGCACACCAGAUGAAUUCUGCCGCAGCCAGGGGUGCCAUUGUACCCAAAGUUUCUGGUCGCCCUGUGCAGAACAUGAAACGAGUGAAUCCAGCUUCUUCUGCUUCUCGAAGCAUAUUAGAGAGGUUAUCUUUUGCUUCGCAUCAGCCAAAGCUGGUUAGGCAUGCGGAUGUCUUUCCAGUUAAUAAUGCUAGUGCCACCUCAGAGUAUCACAAGGCAACUGACCCUGGUUCAUCAAUUGCAGUGAAGCCCUACAGCGAUCCAAAAGUUAUUCGUACAGUUCAGUCAGUGUCCGUGAGAGAUGUGGGCACAGAAAUGACUCCAAUACCUAGUCAGGAACCUUCAAGGACUGGAACUCCACUUGGGUCAAUGACACCAACACGAAGCCCUAAUUGUUCGAUACCAUCGACUCCUGUAGGAGGGAGGUCAACAGCGUCACCCGGUGAAGACAACACAGAUGAUGGUCCAUACUUCAACAGAAAAGGUGGCACAAAUGAAUUGUCAGAUACUGAAAUGAGGCUUAAGACAAGGAAAGAAAUUGCUGCCCUUGGUAUGCAGCUAGGAAAGAUGAACAUUGCUACAUGGGCUAGCAAAGAAGAGCUAGAACUAGUCUCUGCAGCACCGAGCAUUGCUGAUAUGGAGCGGAUGAGGAAGGAAUAUGCCUCCCGUGCAGCAGCAUAUGAGGAGGCAGAAAAUUCUAAACAUACAGCAAGAUUAAAAAAGGAAGAUGUGAAGAUUGAAGCUUGGGAGAGUCGUCAAAGAGCAAAAGCUGAAUCUGAAAUGAGAAGAAUAGAGGAACAUGCAGAGAGAAUGAGAAGUGAGGCCAUGGCAAAGAUGGCUGAAAAGUUAGAGAUGACACGGCGUAUAGCCGAAGAGAAACGAGCGUUAGCCAAUGCCAGGAUGAACCGGCAAGCAGCAAUAGCAGUUCAGAAGGCCGAGAAGAUUCGCCAGACAGGACGAGUUCGAGGAUCAAAUAUCCUAUGCUGCAGUGGCUGCUUCUGUGAACCUUAGUGGAUGCUCAACAACUAAUAUGUUGAACAUAGUGGUGGGAAAUCUAAAUUCCACCCUCUGUAAGUCAGCAUUCCUUAAUUUUAGUAUGAAAAAGGGAAUGCCUGAUUAGGUACUCAGAUGCAAGACGCAAACACAUUCUUGUUUGCCAUGUAAAUCGUUCAAAUGCUUUUAUCUUGGUCAGUGUAAAAAGUACCCAGUUAAUUGUUGGUCGAUGAAGGAGAAGCACUCAAUAUGUAGAACGUAAAGGUGAUGAGCAGUGGUUGACCAAGUUUUACGGGGUAGAGCCACAACGGUCAUGGCAUGCCUCUCGGGUUAGUCAUGACCCCAGAACCUAAGGAGCUCAGGCAGAUGAAGCCACCAUGCCGUACCUCCACGGUUCAGCUUCAAACCAGAGUAGCCAGCGCUCAGUGGAUGCGCAGUUGACAUUUCCAUUUCGCGAUUCAUCCGGUACUGCGAAAAGCAGCUGAAAUGGAACAAAUCAGUAUGGGAUCUUACAAGCAGCUGAAACAUAUUCCAUAAUGCUUAUACAUUGAUAAACUAAAGUUUUUGAUGUAUGGAGCACAGAA